CAGGAAUAGGGGCGGCAAGGAAGACUGAUCGUACAGAAAGGAACUCAGGGACAGAGCCAGAAGGGCACAUGCUCAAAUCCAGCCAGUAGGAAGCAGGGAAUGGAGAAGUGAAAGAGAUGCUACAAAGGGAUGGAGACCUACACUUGACAUGCGUUCAGUCCUGCUUAACAGAGGAAGGGGAUCACUUGGUACUUCAGACAGAGACAACCCCC
rnacentral:lncRNA from 1 species